GGGUGCUGGAGUGGCAACGUGGUCUUCCGUCUGGGGGAGGGGGAAGGGGCAAAGGUGAGAGAUCACCUUCCCUACCCUCCACCUUCCCGCAGGGAGGACGAAGCCAGGUGCCAGGGCUGGGGUCAGGACACCCAUGUGCUGGGGGGGCUUGACCCCAAAUCCCAGACCCUGGAAGCUCCAGGCUUGGGAUGUCUCCUGAGCACCUCUCCCAGCCCCUCCUCUCCAGCCUGUCAGCCCAGCCUCCCCAGUCCCCUCCCCUCAACUCUAGGGGUAGCAUAGCCCUGAGGCCACCUUAGCCCAGCCCCUGCAUUGCCAUUUCCCCAGAGGUGGCCCGUCCACCUCUGCUCUGACCUCUCCCCGUCUCUUUGCCCCUCCUUCUUUUCUCACAAGUGCCAUGAGUUUUCAAACAUCUUCGGGUCUCAGCCUGCUGCUGCCAUGAACUUUGUUGGGUUAAGGGGGAGGGGCUCUAGGAAGGAACUGGGGGGAAGGGGACAGGUAGGUGGCUGGAGGGACCCUUUUUGCUGCUAGAAAGCCCCUCCCUUCUCCUGGGGAGCUGGGGCUGGCUUGUCCCCAUCAAUUAGGGGAGAAGGGGUCAGACCAAAGAUGGUGGUUUGUCCCGUGUAAGGGAACAGGUGUGGGGAAGAGGUGGGGUUGGGUUCCAACUCUGGCUUUUUCUAGUAGAAAGGCCUAACCCAUUAUACCAGAAGACUAUGGGUGAAGUCUAGAUGGGGAGGAGAAGUGAGGCCAGGGACAGUCUUGCCAGACGACUCUGAGGAGGGCAGGGGACAGUUCCAUGGACCUUCCUGGACUGCACUAGGCUAGGAGCUCUUGUGUGGAGGGGCAGUCAGAGGUCUGUGAAGAGCGGGCAGGAGUCAUGGGCAGGCAAAGAGUCGGCCCGGCCCGGGCAGCAGCCCAGCUACAGCCUAUGGCUGCCCCCGACACCAGGAGAAGGGCCGGGAGAGUUCCAGGGGGACUGAGAGACACAGGGAGGCUCACUUCCUCCCUGCCCAGCCUUCCUUGUAUUUCUCCAGACUCGGACAAUCAAAGGGAGAGAGGGUGUAUCAGUCCUGUUUCAGCCGGCAUCGCCCAGUGGCUUCCAGGCCUCAGAGCUGUGUGGCAGGGCCCCCUGCUGGGGCUGGACACCACUGCAGUCCAGUGCAAAGCUGCCCCCAGAGCCCAGGUGUCCCCCCAACCUAACCAGACCUGGUGCCUUGACGCCCCCACCCCAGCUGGGACGGUACAGAGAAGGGUCUUGGUUUCCUCUCCUACUCCCUUCCUUGGGCUCCUGAAAUUUGCUCCUAAAUCUUGUUAAUUCUUUUUCUCUGGAUUUUGGUUUCUUUUGGCUUUCCCUUGCCUUCCCUUUCUCUCUCUGUCUCCAACUCUCUUUCCCCACGUGUUUCUCGCUGUCUCUAUGUUCCUCUUCUCUCAUCCUCAACUUUCUGUCCAUUCGGGCCUCCUUCCCGCCUCCCACGCCCCAGCCCCUCCCUCCUUGGUCUCCUUUUCGAUAUGCCAAACCAAUUUUGGGUCGAGUGCAUUUAACGAGAACAAAACAAAAGGCUCAUAACAACAAGAACGUUUCAGAAAAAAACAAAAAGUUUAAAAAAAAUUGUUGAGUCAGAAAGUCAAACAAUAAAGAAAUUAAGAUUUCUUG
rnacentral:lncRNA from 1 species